GCAGCGCGGCCGGGUCCAGCCCCGCGGCCUCCAGCGCGGUGUCGAUCACCGCCCGUGCGGUGGCGGCCCGUUCGGCGCGGGGGCGCAGCA
rnacentral:tRNA from 1 species